UGAAGCUGAUUGCCUCAAAAGAAAAUACACAUGGUUUUAGUUUAUGUCUGCCUGUAACUUACUAAAUGUAUUUACAGGCUUGGACUUGCAACCUGCUGUGUGGAUACAAUUGCAUCCAUGUGUGGACCAUGGCAAAGAAGAGAAGACAGAUGAUCUUCCUUACAUGGACCUUUCCCAUAUAUGCACAAAGCAAUUAAAAAUGAAAAGCCAUUGCCCCUAUAUUUGUCUUCUCCUCACACUGAACAUCAUUGCACUGUCUGCUGUUGAUUUGCAGAGGUCAUGAUCUUUCUCUGGCCAUACUUUGCAGGGAGGGACAUACGUCUCACAGUGGUUUCUGCGGUAUUUCUCCAUGGAUUCCUUUUGUCACCAGCAGAGAUGACUACCUUUGAAGCAGACUAAAACCAGCAGUGAGCUCCACUUUUGUCAGGAGUGGCUAAGAUAGUCCUUGCCAACAAAUGAAAAGAUUAGAGAAUUACUGGAGAGGAACAGACAGACAAAGAAGUGCAGACAUGUGGAACCUGAGUGAAUAAUAUCCAUUCCUCAGAAAUACAGGGAAUUGGGUAUUCAG